CUUUCAACAACGGAUCUCUUGGUUCUGGCAUCGAUGAAGAACGCAGCGAAAUGCGAUAAGUAAUGUGAAUUGCAGAAUUCAGUGAACCAUUGAAUCUUUGAACGCACAUUGCGCCCGCCAGCACUCUGGCGGGCGAGCCUGUCCGAGCGUCAUCUC
rnacentral:rRNA from 1 species